rnacentral:rRNA from 1 species
UGGGGAGUACGGCCGCAAGGUUAAAACUCAAAUGAAUUGACGGGGGCCCGCACAAGCGGUGGAGCAUGUGGUUUAAUUCGAUGCAACGCGAAGAACCUUACCUACUCUUGACAUCCAGAGAACUUAGCAGAGAUGCUUUGGUGCCUUCGGGAACUCUGAGACAGGUGCUGCAUGGCUGUCGUCAGCUCGUGUUGUGAAAUGUUGGGUUAAGUCCCGCAACGAGCGCAACCCUUAUCCUUUGUUGCCAGCGGUUA